GCAGGAUUCGUAUAUCGGCAGUACGUCAGCUUCCCAAGCUGAAAAGGCGGGUUCGACUCCCGUAUCCCGCU
rnacentral:tRNA from 1 species